rnacentral:rRNA from 1 species
AUUGAACGCUGGCGGCAUGCUUUACACAUGCAAGUCGAACGGCAGCACAGGGAGCUUGCUCCUGGGUGGCGAGUGGCGAACGGGUGAGUAAUGUAUCGGAACGUGCCUGGUAGUGGGGGAUAACUACUCGAAAGAGUGGCUAAUACCGCAUGAGAUCUUUGGAUGAAAGCGUGGGACCUUCGGGCCUCGUUCUACUGGAGCUGCCGAUAUCAGAUUAGGUUGUUGGUGUGGUAAAGGCCUACCAAGCCUGCGAUCUGUAGCUGGUCUGAGAGGACGACCAGCCACACUGGGACUGAGACACGGUCCAGACUCCUACGGGAGGCAGCAGUGGGGAAUUUUGGACAAUGGGCGCAAGCCUGACCGAGCAAUGCCGCGUGCAGGACGAAGGCCUUCGGGUUGUAAACUGCUUUUGUAAAGAACGAAAAGACUUUGGCUAAUAUAUACAGAUCAUGACGGUACUGUAAGAAUAAGCAACGGCUAACUACGUG